rnacentral:piRNA from 1 species
UGAACGUGGCAGUCAGCCUGUCUGUCCCC